AUUGAACGCUGGCGGCAGGCCUAACACAUGCAAGUCGAGCGGUAACAGGGGUAGCUUGCUACCCGCUGACGAGCGGCGGACGGGUGAGUAAUGCAUAGGAAUCUGCCCGAUAGUGGGGGAUAACCUGGGGAAACCCAGGCUAAUACCGCAUACGUCCUACGGGAGAAAGGGGGCUCCGGCUCCCGCUAUCGGAUGAGCCUAUGUCGGAUUAGCUGGUUGGUGAGGUAACGGCUCACCAAGGCGACGAUCCGUAGCUGGUCUGGGAGGAUGAUCAGCCACAUCGGGACUGAGACACGGCCCGAACUCCUACGGGAGGCAGCAGUGGGGAAUAUUGGACAAUGGGGGGAACCCUGAUCCAGCCAUGCCGCGUGUGUGAAGAAGGCCCUCGGGUUGUAAAGCACUUUCAGUGAGGAAGAACGCCUGGUGGUUAAUACCCAUCAGGAAAGACAUCACUCACAGAAGAAGCACCGGCUAACUCCGUGCCAGCAGCCGCGGUAAUACGGAGGGUGCGAGCGUUAAUCGGAAUUACUGGGCGUAAAGCGCGCGUAGGUGGCUUGAUAAGCCGGUUGUGAAAGCCCCGGGCUCAACCUGGGAACGGCAUCCGGAACUGUCAAGCUAGAGUGCAGGAGAGGAAGGUAGAAUUCCCGGUGUAGCGGUGAAAUGCGUAGAGAUCGGGAGGAAUACCAGUGGCGAAGGCGGCCUUCUGGACUGACACUGACACUGAGGUGCGAAAGCGUGGGUAGCAAACAGG
rnacentral:rRNA from 1 species